rnacentral:tRNA from 1 species
UGGCUCAGAGGUUAAGAGCACUGGCUGCCAUUCCAGAGGUCCUGAGUUCAAUUCUCAG